GCUUUUGCACUGUGGCAGUAUUGCAGCCAAUGAGGUUUACCCGAGGCACAAUUAUUUCUAAUUGAAAACUUUUCCUAAAAUU
rnacentral:snRNA from 1 species